GCAUUCAGAAAUAUCACUAACAGAAAUAUUUUUCAAAAGACCCUACUUAACUAAAAGUUUUAGACACUCACUAGACAAUGACGUACCUACGAAUGCCAUCAAAAGAAAGGUGGUGAUUUCUAAUUAAGAUAAAAGGGUGACAUUGCAGGCCAAGAUGUUGAGGAAGAAGAUGGUGAAAUGUACAAGUUCUCCAAUACGUAGAGAUCACCAACUCUACGGCUGGUCCUA
rnacentral:lncRNA from 1 species